UACGUAGGGUGCAAGCGUUAUCCGGAAUUAUUGGGCGUAAAGGGCUCGUAGGCGGUUUGUCACGUCGGGAGUGAAAACUCGGGGCUUAACCCCGAGCCUGCUUCCGAUACGGGCAGACUAGAGGUAUGCAGGGGAGAACGGAAUUCCUGGUGUAGCGGUGAAAUGCGCAGAUAUCAGGAGGAACACCGGUGGCGAAGGCGGUUCUCUGGGCAUUACCUGACGCUGAGGAGCGAAAGUGUGGGGAGCGAACAGG
rnacentral:rRNA from 1 species